UGGCGCAUGCCUGUAAUCCCAGCUACUCGGGGAGGCUGAGGCAGGAGAAUUGUCUGAACCCAGGAGGCGGAGGUUGCAGUGAGCCGAGAUGGCGCCAUUGCACUCCAGCCUGGGUAACAAGAGUGAAACUCUGUCUCAAAAAAAAAAAAAUAAUAAUAAAAUAAAUAAAUAAAUACCCUUUUGCUUGAAGUGCCAAAGAUUCUUCUAACUUUGACAUCAUGACAUGGAGAGAAAAUGGAAAUAAGCUGCAUUCAACAUGGUGGGUUAAACUGACCAAGCAGCGCAUGGCCAGCAGUGCUCAGCCCUGGGGCUGUCAGGCUGUUCAGGCCCCUGCCUGACCCGAGGGGGUCCACAUCUCACAGUCUCCAAGUGCACACAGGUGGUCCCGUUGAGAAGCCCUACUGUGACGCUGCUCUUUCAGGAUUGCCCCUCUGGAGACUGCUUCCGGCAUACCUCCUUCUCACAUUCCACUCUUACCAAACCAUCCUUAAAAGUAUAUGGCUGGGCACUGGACUUGAAGGGAUUUGAAAAGAGUAAAGUAUUUCACAAUGGCCAGGAUACUUCACGAAGAGGCAACAGAGUUUUAUCGUCGCUCGAGGUAAAGCGGGAAGGUGAGAUCAGGAUCCAGGAUAGGCUCUUGCGCCAUGACAACAGACAAAACACUUCACAGGGUGUGUCAGCCCAUGGAAAGGAAAAAAUGGGUCAGGAGAAGCAUCACUCUGGGACAGGUCCUGGCUGCAAGUUUCUCCAUAAGGGUUUCUCUGUGAUGUUCAAGGUCUGGUCAGCAGCAGCCCCCAGAGCUGUGGCAGCAGCCAGAGCCCCCAGAGUGUUCACAUUCACAGCAAUCAGAGCUCUGGUGCCGGCGCCGGUGGAAGAGAUGGGGCCUGUGGUGGCUCAGGCAGCAGCCACCAUCCCCAGAGCUGCAGCAGCCCCCAGAGCUGGAGCCACAGAAGCCCCCAGAGCUGGAGCCACAGCAGGAAGAGACUGGAGGUGUGGAGAUGGAGCAACGCAACCAGCAUGGCGGUUGACUAGGAUUGAAAUCUGACCCAGCAAAGCCGAUGAGCAACCAUGAAAUGCACAACCUUGCAGAUAAGAACUCCAUCAGGCACCCCGAGAUCACCAACUCUCUCCCAGAAAACAACCACUAACAAUAAAAUGACAAGACAGAGGGGUAUCCA
rnacentral:lncRNA from 13 species